rnacentral:rRNA from 1 species
CCGACGGUGAGGGAUGAAAGCUGGGGGCACGAACCGGAUUAGAUACCCGGGUAGUCCCAGCCGUAAACGAUGCUCGCUAGGUGUCUGGGAUGGUGCGACCGUUUCAGGUGCCGCAGGGAGGCCGUGAAGCGAGCCACCUGGGAAGUACGGCCGCAAGGCUGAAACUUAAAGGAAUUGGCGGGGGAGCACUACAACGGGUGGAGCCUGCGGUUUAAUUGGACUCAACGCCGGAAAACUCACCUGGGGC